rnacentral:rRNA from 1 species
GACGAACGCUGGCGGCGUGCUUAACACAUGCAAGUCGAACGGAGUGGCGAACGGGUGAGUAACACGUGGGUGAUCUGCCUUGCACUUCGGGAUAAGCUUGGGAAACUGGGUCUAAUACCGGAUAGUGCAAGAUGAGCUCGCGGCCUAUCAGCUUGUUGGGGGGGUAAUGGCCUACGAAGGCGGCGACGGGUAGCCGGCCUGAGAGGGUGUACGGCCACAUUGGGACGGAGAUACGGCCCAGGCGAGGACGGGAGGCAGCAGUGGGGAAUAUUGCACAAUGGGCGGAAGCAUGAUGCAGAGACGCCGGGUGGGGGAUGCAGGCCUUCUGGUUGUAAACUCCUUUCGAUAGGGACGCGGUACCUGUAUAAGAAGCACCGGCUAACUACGUGCCAGCCGCCGCGGUAAUAC